rnacentral:tRNA from 1 species
GUAGUUCAGUGGUAGAGCAUUUGCCUAGCAUGUAAAAGGCCUUAGGUUUGAUCCCUAGC